rnacentral:misc_RNA from 1 species
AACGCACGAGACCUGCGGACCUGCGGAAGGAUCAUUACCGAGUUAUCCGACUCCCAACCCCUGUGAAUUAUACCUUUAAUUGUUGCUUCGGCGGGACUUCGCGCCCGCCGGGGACCCAAACCUUCUGAAUUUUUUAAUAAGUAUCUUCUGAGUGGUUAAAAAAAUGAAUCAAAACUUUUAACAAUGGAUCUCU